GCCCGGGUGGCGGAAUGGUAGACGCAGAGGACUCAAAAUCCUCCGCCUAAACAGCGUGUGGGUUCGAGUCCCACCCCGGGCACCA
rnacentral:tRNA from 1 species